AUCUUACAGGCUCAUUCAGUCCCUGAGUGCCACUCUGAGUCUCACACUGGAAGUCCUCUCUGGGGUUGCAGUGGGUGACUCUUUCAGUCCCUGAGUUGGCAUUGAGGAAGAAUCACACUGGAGGAGUCAACAGCGCUCAGCUGGAAGUCUCUCCCAUUUCCUUGGGGCUCCCCUUAGUGAGACUCAAACUGGAAGACAUCCCAUUUGGCUCUCUAGUCUUCUUCCUUCACAUUCUUAGCCUACCUAUAUUCAUGUAUGAGCACAGAUACGUUGAUGGAGUGCAAUGGUUCUUAGAAAAUAUCAAUGGCCCUUUUUAAUGUUAGGUAAGGCUAUUGAUCAAUCAAAGAUUCUAUAGCUUUCUAGCUUCACACACUGAGGGGAGAAAGGAGCCAACUACCUUGAUCCUGGAAAGACACACUUGGUGGCUACAGGAGAGAAGAAACAAAAGAGGAAAGAAGAAAGAAAUAUGAUCUUCAUCAAGAAUGCAACAUCAUGUCAGUCAAAGCGGACCUGAGAGACGAACCCCCCAAAGCAUAAGUCAGUUUCAUCAACACACCACAUCACACACUUUAAUGCUAGGUGUGACCAAUGCCUGAGAAUAGAUUAUAUAGUUUUCUUGCCUGGCAUAAUAUUAGCAAUGACAAAGGUUCCUAGAACCAGAAAGAUCACAGCGGCCCUUCUUAAUGCUAGGUGUGGCUGUUGAUUGGCAAUCGAUAUUAAGCUUGGCUAGCCUGGCAUAAUUUUGGCCAUGGCGAUGGUUCUUAGGACCAGAAAGAAGACCUCAACAGCCACUAUUAAUGCUAGGUGUGGCUGUUGAUUGAUAAUCGAUAUUAUGCUUGUCUUGUCUGCUGUAAUUUGGCCAUGGCAAUGGUUCUUGGAACCAGAAAGAAGAGCUCAAUGGCCCAUUUUAAUUAGGUGGGCCUGUUGAUGGCUAAUACAGUUUAUACUUUUCUUACCUGGCGUAAUUGGGCCAUGGCAAUGGUUCUUAAAACCAGAAAGAAGAUAUCAGCGGCCAUUAUUAAUGCUAGGUGUGGCUGUUGAUUGAUAAACAGAUUUUAUACUUGUCUUGCCUGGCAUAAUUUUGGCCAUGGAGAUGGUUCUUAGAACCAGAAAGAAGACCUCAACGGCCACUAUUAAUGCUAGGUGUGGCUGUUGAUGGCUAAUACAUUUUAUACUUUUCUUGCCUGGCGUAAUUUGGCCAUGGUGAUGGUUCUUAGAAGCAGAAAGAAGAUAUCAGCGGCCAUUAUUAAUGCUAGUAUGGCUGUUGACUGAUAACAGAUUUUAUACUUGUCUUGCCUGGUAUAAUUUUGGCCAUAGUGAUGGUUCUUAGAUCCAGAAAGACCUCAGCAGCCAUUAUUAAUGCUAGGUGUGGCUGUUGAUUGAUGACUGAUUCUAUACUUGUCUUGCCUGGCAUAAUUUUGGCCACGGCGAUGGUUCUUAGAAGCAGAAAGAAGAUAUCAGCGGCCAUUAUUAAUGCUAGGUGUGGCUGUUGAUCAAUCAAAGGAUUUGUAGCUUUCUAGCUUCACACACUGAGGGGGGAAGGAGCCAAAUACCUGGUUCCUGGAAAGAGACACUACAGGAGAGGAAGAAACGAAAGAAGAAAGAAGAAACGAGAGCAAGAAAAUAUCUGCAGCUUAGGCCCACUGAGCCUUUGGCUGUUAUGUGGCCUUCUACACCUGAGGAAUAUACUUCAUAGCCUUAGAAGACAAGAAUCAGAUGUCACCUGCAGUGCUGAUGGUGAAAAUGGAAGAGGAAUGGAAAAGAAGAAUGAAUAUGAUCUUCAUCAAUCAAAGCAGACCUGUAGAUGAGUCCCCCAAAGCAUAAGUCAGUUUCAUCAACACAACACAUCACACACUUUAAUGCUAGGUACAACCAGUGCCUGAGAAUAGAUUAUAUAGUUUUCUUGCCUGGCAUAAUAUUAGCGAUGACAAAGGUUCUUAGAUCCAGAAAGAUCACAGCGGCCUUUCUUAAUGCUACGUGUGGCUGUUGAUUGAUAAACAGAUUUUAUAUUUAUCUUGUCUGGCAUAAUUUUGGCCAUGGCGAUGGUUCUUAGAACCAGAAAGAUCACAGCGGCCCUUCUUAAUGCUAGGUGUGGCUGUUGAUAGGCAAUCGAUAUUAAACUUGGCUAGCCUGGCAUAAUUUUGGCCAUGGCGAAGGUUCUUAGAACCAGGAAGAAGACCUCAACAGCCGCUAUUAAUGCUAGGUGUGGCUGUUGAUUGAUAAUCGAUAUUAUGCUUGUCUUGUCUGGUGUAAUUUGGCCAUGGCGAUCGUUCUUAGAACCAGAAAGAUCACAGCGGCCCUUUUUAAUGCUAGGUGUGGCUGUUGAUUGAUAAACAGAUUUUAUACUUGUCUUGCCUGGCAUAAUUUUGGCCAUGGAGAUGGUUCUUAGAUCCAGAAAGAUCACAGCGGCCCUUCUUAAUGCUAGGUGUGGCUGUUGAUUGAUAAACAGAUUUUAUACUUGUCUUGCCUGGCAUAAUUUUGGCUAUGGCGAUGGUUCUUAGAACCAGAAAGAAGAGCUCAACGGCCCAUUUUAAUAUUAGGUGGGGCUGUUAAUGGCUAAUACAUUUUAUACUUUUCUUGCCUGGCAUAAUUUGGCCAUGGCGAUGGUUCUUAGAAGCAGAAAGAAGAUAUCAGCAGCCAUUAUUAAUGCUAGGUGUGGCUGUUGAUCAAUCAAAGGUUUUAUAGCUUUCUAGCUUCACACACUGAAGGGAGGAAGGAGCCAAAUACCUGGUUCCUGGAAAGAGACACUACAGGAGAGGAAGAAACGAAAGAGGAAAGAAGAAACGAGAGCAAGAAAAUAUCUGCAGCUUAGGCCCACUGAGCCUUUGGCUGUUAUGUGGCCUUCUACACUUGAGGCAUGUACUUCAUAGCCUUAGAGGACAAGAAUCGGAUGUCACCUGCAGUGCUGAUGGUGAAAAUGGAAGAGGAAUGGAAAAGAAGAAUGAAUAUGAUCUUCAUCAAUCAAAGCAGACCUGUAGAUGAGUCCCCCAAAGCAUAAGUCAGUUUCAUCAACACACAUCACACACUUUAAUGCUAGGUACAACCAGUGCCUGAGAAUAGAUUAUAUAGUUUUCUUGCCUGGCAUAAUAUUAGCGAUGACAAAGGUUCUUAGAACUAGAAAGAUCACAGCGGCCCUUCUUAAUGCUAGGUGUGGCUGUUGAUUGGCAAUCGAUAUUAAACUUGGCUAGCCUGGCAUAAUUCUGGCCAUGGCGAUGGUUCUUAGAACCAGAAAGAAGACCUCAACAGCCAUUAUUAAUGCUAGGUGUGGCUGUUGAUUGAUAAACAGAUUUUAUACUUGUCUUGUCUGGCGUAAUUUUGGCCAUGGAGAUGGUUCUUAGAUCCAGAAAGAUCACAGCGGCCCUUCUUAAUGCUAGGUGUGGCUGUUGAUUGAUAAACAGAUUUUAUACUUGUCUUGCCUGGCAUAAUUCUGGCCAUGGUGAUGGGUCUUAGAAGGAGAAAGAUCACAGCGGCCCUUCUUAAUGCUAGGUGUGGCUGUUGAUUGGCAAUCGAUAUUAAACUUGGCUAGCCUGGCAUAAUUUUGGCCAUGGCGAAGGUUCUUAGAACCAGGAAGAAGACCUCAACAGCCGCUAUUAAUGCUAGGUGUGGCUGUUGAUUGAUAAUCGAUAUUAUGCUUGUCUUGUCUGGCGUAAUUUGGCCAUGGCGAUCGUUCUUAGAACCAGAAAGAUCACAGCGGCCCUUUUUAAUACUAGGUGUGGCUGUUGAUUGAUAAACAGAUUUUAUACUUGUCUUGCCUGGCAUAAUUUUGGCCAUGGCGAUGGUUCUUAGAACCAGAAAGAAGAGCUCAACGGCCCAUUUUAAUAUUAGGUGGGGCUGUUAAUGGCUAAUACAUUUUAUACUUUUCUUGCCUGGCAUAAUUUGGCCAUGGCGAUGGUUCUUAGAAGCAGAAAGAAGAUAUCAGCAGCCAUUAUUAAUGCUAGGUGUGGCUGUUGAUUGAUGACUGAUUCUAUACUUGUCUUGCCUGGCAUAAUUUUGGCCAUGGCGAUGGUUCUUAGAAGCAGAAAGAAGAUAUCAGCAGCCAUUAUUAAUGCUAGGUGUGGCUGUUGAUCAAUCAAAGGUUUUAUAGCUUUCUAGCUUCACACACUGAAGGGAGGAAGGAGCCAAAUACCUGGUUCCUGGAAAGAGACACUACAGGAGAGGAAGAAACGAAAGAGGAAAGAAGAAACGAGAGCAAGAAAAUAUCUGCAGCUUAGGCCCACUGAGCCUUUGGCUGUUAUGUGGCCUUCUACACCUGAGGCAUGUACUUCAUAGCCUUAGAGGACAAGAAUCGGAUGUCACCUGCAGUGCUGAUGGUGAAAAUGGAAGAGGAAUGGAAAAGAAGAAUGAAUAUGAUCUUCAUCAAUCAAAGCAGACCUGUAGAUGAGUCCCCCAAAGCAUAAGUCAGUUUCAUCAACACACAUCACACACUUUAAUGCUAGGUACAACCAGUGCCUGAGAAUAGAUUAUAUAGUUUUCUUGCCUGGCAUAAUAUUAGCGAUGACAAAGGUUCUUAGAACUAGAAAGAUCACAGCGGCCCUUCUUAAUGCUAGGUGUGGCUGUUGAUUGGCAAUCGAUAUUAAACUUGGCUAGCCUGGCAUAAUUCUGGCCAUGGCGAUGGUUCUUAGAACCAGAAAGAAGACCUCAACAGCCAUUAUUAAUGCUAGGUGUGGCUGUUGAUUGAUAAUCGAUAUUAUGCUUGUCUCGUCUGGCGUAAUUUGGUCAUGGCGAUCGUUCUUAGAACCAGAAAGAUCACAGCGGCCCUUUUUAAUACUAGGUGUGGCUGUUGAUUGAUAAACAGAUUUUAUACUUGUCUUGUCUGGCGUAAUUUGGCCAUGGCGAUGGUUCUUAGAACAGAAAGAAGAUAUCAACAGCCACUAUUAAUGCUAGGUGUGGCUGUUGAUUGAUAAUCGAUAUUAUGCUUGUCUUGUCUGGCGUAAUUUGGCCAUGGCGAUCGUUCUUAGAACCAGAAAGAUCACAGCGGCCCUUUUUAAUACUAGGUGUGGCUGUUGAUUAAUAAACAGAUUUUAUACUUGUCUUGCCUGGCAUAAUUUUGGCCAUGGCGAUGGUUCUUAGAACCAGAAAGAAGAGCUCAACGGCCCAUUUUAAUAUUAGGUGGGGCUGUUAAUGGCUAAUACAUUUUAUACUUUUCUUGCCUGGCAUAAUUUGGCCAUGGCGAUGGUUCUUAGAAGCAGAAAGAAGAUAUCAGCAGCCAUUAUUAAUGCUAGGUGUGGCUGUUGAUUGAUGACUGAUUCUAUACUUGUCUUGCCUGGCAUAAUUUUGGCCAUGGCGAUGGUUCUUAGAAGCAGAAAGAAGAUAUCAGCAGCCAUUAUUAAUGCUAGGUGUGGCUGUUGAUCAAUCAAAGGUUUUAUAGCUUUCUAGCUUCACACACUGAAGGGAGGAAGGAGCCAAAUACCUGGUUCCUGGAAAGAGACACUACAGGAGAGGAAGAAACGAAAGAGGAAAGAAGAAACGAGAGCAAGAAAAUAUCUGCAGCUUAGGCCCACUGAGCCUUUGGCUGUUAUGUGGCCUUCUACACUUGAGGCAUGUACUUCAUAGCCUUAGAGGACAAGAAUCGGAUGUCACCUGCAGUGCUGAUGGUGAAAAUGGAAGAGGAAUGGAAAAGAAGAAUGAAUAUGAUCUUCAUCAAUCAAAGCAGACCUGUAGAUGAGUCCCCCAAAGCAUAAGUCAGUUUCAUCAACACACAUCACACACUUUAAUGCUAGGUACAACCAGUGCCUGAGAAUAGAUUAUAUAGUUUUCUUGCCUGGCAUAAUAUUAGCGAUGACAAAGGUUCUUAGAACUAGAAAGAUCACAGCGGCCCUUCUUAAUGCUAGGUGUGGCUGUUGAUUGGCAAUCGAUAUUAAACUUGGCUAGCCUGGCAUAAUUCUGGCCAUGGCGAUGGUUCUUAGAACCAGAAAGAAGACCUCAACAGCCAUUAUUAAUGCUAGGUGUGGCUGUUGAUUGAUAAACAGAUUUUAUACUUGUCUUGUCUGGCGUAAUUUGGCCAUGGCGAUGGUUCUUAGAACAGAAAGAAGAUAUCAACAGCCACUAUUAAUGCUAGGUGUGGCUGUUGAUUGAUAACAGAUUUAUACUUGUCUUGCCUGGCAUAAUUCUGGCCAUGGUGAUGGGUCUUAGAAGCAGAAAGAUCACAGCGGCCCUUCUUAAUGCUAGGUGUGGCUGUUGAUUGGCAAUCGAUAUUAAACUUGGCUAGCCUGGCAUAAUUUUGGCCAUGGCGAAGGUUCUUAGAACCAGGAAGAAGACCUCAACAGCCGCUAUUAAUGCUAGGUGUGGCUGUUGAUUGAUAAUCGAUAUUAUGCUUGUCUUGUCUGGCGUAAUUUGGCCAUGGCGAUCGUUCUUAGAACCAGAAAGAUCACAGCGGCCCUUUUUAAUACUAGGUGUGGCUGUUGAUUGAUAAACAGAUUUUAUACUUGUCUUGCCUGGCAUAAUUUUGGCCAUGGCGAUGGUUCUUAGAACCAGAAAGAAGAGCUCAACGGCCCAUUUUAAUAUUAGGUGGGGCUGUUAAUGGCUAAUACAUUUUAUACUUUUCUUGCCUGGCAUAAUUUGGCCAUGGCGAUGGUUCUUAGAAGCAGAAAGAAGAUAUCAGCAGCCAUUAUUAAUGCUAGGUGUGGCUGUUGAUUGAUGACUGAUUCUAUACUUGUCUUGCCUGGCAUAAUUUUGGCCAUGGCGAUGGUUCUUAGAAGCAGAAAGAAGAUAUCAGCAGCCAUUAUUAAUGCUAGGUGUGGCUGUUGAUCAAUCAAAGGUUUUAUAGCUUUCUAGCUUCACACACUGAAGGGAGGAAGGAGCCAAAUACCUGGUUCCUGGAAAGAGACACUACAGGAGAGGAAGAAACGAAAGAGGAAAGAAGAAACGAGAGCAAGAAAAUAUCUGCAGCUUAGGCCCACUGAGCCUUUGGCUGUUAUGUGGCCUUCUACACUUGAGGCAUGUACUUCAUAGCCUUAGAGGACAAGAAUCGGAUGUCACCUGCAGUGCUGAUGGUGAAAAUGGAAGAGGAAUGGAAAAGAAGAAUGAAUAUGAUCUUCAUCAAUCAAAGCAGACCUGUAGAUGAGUCCCCCAAAGCAUAAGUCAGUUUCAUCAACACACAUCACACACUUUAAUGCUAGGUACAACCAGUGCCUGAGAAUAGAUUAUAUAGUUUUCUUGCCUGGCAUAAUAUUAGCGAUGACAAAGGUUCUUAGAACUAGAAAGAUCACAGCGGCCCUUCUUAAUGCUAGGUGUGGCUGUUGAUUGGCAAUCGAUAUUAAACUUGGCUAGCCUGGCAUAAUUCUGGCCAUGGCGAUGGUUCUUAGAACCAGAAAGAAGACCUCAACAGCCAUUAUUAAUGCUAGGUGUGGCUGUUGAUUGAUAAACAGAUUUUAUACUUGUCUUGUCUGGCGUAAUUUGGCCAUGGCGAUGGUUCUUAGAACAGAAAGAAGAUAUCAACAGCCACUAUUAAUGCUAGGUGUGGCUGUUGAUUGAUAACAGAUUUAUACUUGUCUUGCCUGGCAUAAUUCUGGCCAUGGUGAUGGGUCUUAGAAGCAGAAAGAUCACAGCGGCCCUUCUUAAUGCUAGGUGUGGCUGUUGAUUGGCAAUCGAUAUUAAACUUGGCUAGCCUGGCAUAAUUUUGGCCAUGGCGAAGGUUCUUAGAACCAGGAAGAAGACCUCAACAGCCGCUAUUAAUGCUAGGUGUGGCUGUUGAUUGAUAAUCGAUAUUAUGCUUGUCUUGUCUGGCGUAAUUUGGCCAUGGCGAUCGUUCUUAGAACCAGAAAGAUCACAGCGGCCCUUUUUAAUACUAGGUGUGGCUGUUGAUUGAUAAACAGAUUUUAUACUUGUCUUGCCUGGCAUAAUUUUGGCCAUGGCGAUGGUUCUUAGAACCAGAAAGAAGAGCUCAACGGCCCAUUUUAAUAUUAGGUGGGGCUGUUAAUGGCUAAUACAUUUUAUACUUUUCUUGCCUGGCAUAAUUUGGCCAUGGCGAUGGUUCUUAGAAGCAGAAAGAAGAUAUCAGCAGCCAUUAUUAAUGCUAGGUGUGGCUGUUGAUUGAUGACUGAUUCUAUACUUGUCUUGCCUGGCAUAAUUUUGGCCAUGGCGAUGGUUCUUAGAAGCAGAAAGAAGAUAUCAGCAGCCAUUAUUAAUGCUAGGUGUGGCUGUUGAUCAAUCAAAGGUUUUAUAGCUUUCUAGCUUCACACACUGAAGGGAGGAAGGAGCCAAAUACCUGGUUCCUGGAAAGAGACACUACAGGAGAGGAAGAAACGAAAGAGGAAAGAAGAAACGAGAGCAAGAAAAUAUCUGCAGCUUAGGCCCACUGAGCCUUUGGCUGUUAUGUGGCCUUCUACACCUGAGGCAUGUACUUCAUAGCCUUAGAGGACAAGAAUCGGAUGUCACCUGCAGUGCUGAUGGUGAAAAUGGAAGAGGAUUGGAAAAGAAGAAUGAAUAUGAUCUUCAUCAACAAUACACUUUCAGCAAGUGAAUCCAAAGUGACAUGUAGAAGAUUCCCUCAAACUAUAUGUCAGUUUCAUUAACACAGAACCCUACACUUUUAAUGCUAGGUUUGGCAAGUCUUUGAUAAAAGAUUGUAUAGUUUUAUGGUCUGGCCUAAUUUUAGCCUUGGUAGUUCUUAAAAUUAAGAGGAAAAUCUCUGGCUCCUUUUAAUGCUAGGUGUCGCUGUGUAUUUUUGAAACACUAAUUAUUUUUCUGGCCUGGUCUAAUGUUAGCCAUGGCUGGGGUUCUUAGAAGUGCAGAGGGCCCCACAAGCAUCCCCCAUACCAACCUAGCACGGAGGUGAUGGUGAUUGCCCCAGUGGUACGGUCUUUCAGUCCCUGAGCCUCCAGUCUGUGACACUCGCACUGAAUGAGCCUGUAAGAUGAUCCGCUGCCUUCUCAUUCAGUCCUUGAGUUGACACACUGUGAGACUCACACUGGAAGGCCUCUCUGGCGUUCCACUGGGUGGCUCUUUCAGCCCCUGAGUUGGCACCGAGGUACAAUCACCCUGGAGGAGUCAACAGCACUCAGAGGGAAGCCUCCUCCGGUCCCUGAGGACUCCCUCAAUCAGACCCAAGGAGAACCCAUUUGGCUCACUAUCAUCUGCCAUAGGCACACACAGCCGACCCUCACAGGAUGGAGGUGAUGCCAUGACACCUAGUUGUAGAGGUCUUUCAGUCCCUAAGUCUCAACUCUGUGACACUCACACUGAAUGAGCCUGGUUCUUGAUCCGCUGCCUUCUCAUUCAGUUCCUGAGCUGACACUCUGUGAGACUCACACUGGAAGUCCUCUCUGGGGUUGCACUGGGUCAUCCUUUCGGUCCCUGAGCAAGCCCUGAAUGUGAAGGUUCUAGCAUUCUGCUAGAAGCCUCUCCCAGUCCCUGAAGAUCACUAAGUGACUCUCAUACUGGAAAGGAAUCCUUUUGGAUCACCUCCCUCCCACCUUCACACCCUUAGAAAUAAUGCAACUAGCAGCCAGACCUCUUAAAAUCAAAAGUAAACUUGGUGACGCAUUUUAAUACAAGAUAUGACCAUCAAUCUAUAAAUUAAAAAGAAGUUUUCUACUAGGGUGAAACAUUAAUUCCAAUAAUCAGUAAAUAAGUCUCUCUGGCCCUUUUAAAUUCUAGAUGGGGUCAUUGAAACUCUAAAGUAGAUUUCUUACCUGCCUUGAUUUGGACACGAUGGUCCUUAGAACCAUUAAAAAAAAAAUCAACGACUCUUUUUAAAAUAGGUAUGGCACACACUACAUCACACACAUCACUGCUAGGUGCAGCCAGUGCCUGAGAAUAGAUGUUAUAGUUCUCUUGCCAGGCAUAAUUUUAGCCACGGCGAUGGUUCUUAGAACCAGGAAGAAAAUCUCAAGGGCCCUUUUUAAUGAUAGGUAGCCAGUGACUGAUAAAAGAUUUCUAAUUUUCUACCUUGGAAUAAUUUUAGCCAUGUAUAGUUUAUUUUUGUUUUGACUGGUAAAUGUUAAUCAUGAUGUACUGAUAUACAUGAUAUACAAACCAGAACAACGAGACACAAGGACAGUUUUUUCCCCAUGUUGUCACUCUGCUUAACAACUAAUUCCUACAACACUGUUAAACUACUUAGUAAAGCUGUAUUACUAUGAUACUUCUCAUCUUUUCU